UGGCGGACGGGUGAGUAACGCGUGGAUAACCUGCCGUAUACCGGGGGAUAACACUUAGAAAUAGGUGCCAAUACCGCAUAAGCGCACGGCUCCGCAUGGGGCAGUGUGAAAAACUCCGGUGGUAUACGAUGGAUCCGCGUCUGAUUAGCUAGUUGGCGGGGUAACGGCCCACCAAGGCAGCGAUCAGUAGCCGGCCUGAAAGGGUGGACGGCCACAUUGGGACUGAGACACGGCCCAAACUCCUACGGGAGGCAGCAG
rnacentral:rRNA from 1 species